UACGUAGGGGGCCAGCGUUGCUCGGAAUUACUGGGCGUAAAGGGUGCGUAGGCGGGUCUUUAAGUCAGGGGUGAAAUCCUGGAGCUCAACUCCAGAACUGCCUUUGAUACUGAGGAUCUUGAGUUCGGGAGAGGUGAGUGGAACUGCGAGUGUAGAGGUGAAAUUCGUAGAUAUUCGCAAGAACACCAGUGGCGAAGGCGGCUCACUGGCCCGAUACUGACGCUGAGGCACGAAAGCGUGGGGAGCAAACAGG
rnacentral:rRNA from 1 species